CACGACAGCAAAUAGCAAGCCUUAAAUCCCCCCAAAAAGAAAAUCCCUAUUUUCUCAAUGUUCUUACAUCUUUCCCCAGCCUCGCCAAACACCACCGCUCAGCUAGCUUCUCCAAGUUGAACGAUUCACAAACACACAAACCAAAAAAAAAAGAAAAAAGAGAAAGCUUGAACUGCUAAAAAAAGUAGGCAUGAAACGAAAGAGGAAUCAGAGGAAAAAGAAAGUAAUCGAUGAUGGUGAAAAAGAAGAAGAAGAAGAAGAAGACAAAGACAGAAUCAGCAGUUUACCAGAUUCCAUUCUUCACGAAAUCCUCUCUUCCAUGGACGACCUCGCCUCCGCAAUUCAGACCUGCGUGCUGUCAAAACGAUGGAGGUAUGUUUGGACUUCCCUCCCCAACCUCCGCUUCGAUUUCGAUCAACUAGAUGAGGUCAGAAUGUCUCGUUUCAAACGCUUCGUCAAUCAGGUAUUGUCUCUCCGAGAUAACAACUCCAAUGUCUACAGAUUCUACUUCUCGUCCGGUUAUCUUGUUGACCCCUGCCUGUUCAAGAAAUGCAUAUCUUACGCAGUUCGCCACAAUGUUCAACAACUCCAUCUCAACGCAUUUGGUUAUACAGAGCUCGAUGAUUUUCCUCUCUGCUUCUUUAACUAUGCCUCUUUAAAAGAACUUAAAUUGGCCAAUUGUGGCAACAAUAGUAUGCUUCUGGACAAGCCCUUGCGAUUUCCGGCAUUAAAGACUUUGCAUCUUAAUCGUUUCGGACAUGACUCUGCCAAUUUCAUCACUCAGACUGUUGGGAAUUGUCCCAAUUUGGAAACUUUGAUUUUGGAUUGCUUAUACCUUAAUUGUUUUAUGCUGUCUUUGGUUGGGGAUUUGGAAAGAGAUUUGGAAAGAGAAACAGAAAAGAUAGGUGAAAUAAGAAUAAAAUAUACCUAUAUUUCACCGAAUUUCACACCCCUUUUCCCUUUCCAUUUCUAAAUCACUCCCCAAAUCUCCCAACCAAACACGGCAUUAAUAUCACUGCCCCUAAACUUAGGAAGUUGGAAUUAUGUUACGCUGAAGAUUCUCUUGGACUGUAUUAUGAAUCGGAGAUUGUGAUUUCAGCACCUAGACUGACUUCAUUCAAGUUCGAAGGUUAUGCUUCGCCUGUCUUUUCUCCGGCCAGCUUUCCCUGUUUGGACCAUGUAUAUGUCGAUGCGAUCCCAAUGUUUUAUAGGUUUCAGCUUGCUUCAAUCGUCAAGGAAAGGAUGCCACUCAAUGUGAUCAAUAUGCUUGGACAGCUUCGAGAAGCAAAAUCCAUUACACUGUCCCUGUCGACGCUUGAGGUUCUUGCAAUGGAUCCUGAUUCUCUCAGAAGCCAUCCUU